rnacentral:rRNA from 3 species
ACUCCUACGGGAGGCAGCAGUGGGGAAUCUUGCGCAAUGGGCGAAAGCCUGACGCAGCCAUGCCGCGUGAAUGAUGAAGGUCUUAGGAUUGUAAAAUUCUUUCACCGGGGACGAUAAUGACGGUACCCGGAGAAGAAGCCCCGGCUAACUUCGUGCCAGCAGCCGCGGUAAU